rnacentral:rRNA from 1 species
GACGAACGCUGGCGGCGUGCCUAAUACAUGCAAGUCGAGCGGACAAAGACGAGCUUGCUCCUCGAUGCUAGCGGCGGACGGGUGAGUAACACGUGGGCAACCUGCCUGUAAGACUGGGAUAACUUCGGGAAACCGGAGCUAAUACCGGAUAAUGCUUUUGAACUCAUGUUCGAAAGCUGAAAGAUGGUUUCGGCUAUCACUUACAGAUGGGCCCGCGGCGCAUUAGCUAGUUGGUGAGGUAACGGCUCACCAAGGCAACGAUGCGUAGCCGACGUGAGGGGGUGAUCGGCCGCACGGGGACGGGGCCAAGGCCCCGACUCCUAAGGGAGGCAGCAGUAGGGAAUCUUCUGCAAUGGAGGAGAAUCUGGCGGAACGACGCCGCGUGAGUGAUGAGGAUGUUGGGAUCGUAAACCUCUGUUGUUAGUUGAGAACAAGUGCCGGAGUUGCUGCCGGGUCCGUGACGGUAACUGGCCAGGAAGCCACGGCUAACUACGUG